rnacentral:rRNA from 1 species
GUGGGGAAUAUUGGGCAAUGGGCGAAAGCCUGACCCAGCAACGCCGCGUGAAGGAAGAAGGUUUUCGGAUCGUAAACUUCUAUCCUUGGUGAAGAUAAUGACGGUAGCCGAGAAGGAAGCCCCGGCUAACUACGUGCCAGCAGCCGCGGUAAUACGUAGGGGGCAAGCGUUGUCCGGAAUGAUUGGGCGUAAAGGGCGCGUAGGCGGCCUGGUAAGUCUGGAGUGAAAGUCCUGCUUUUAAGGUGGGAAUUGCUUUGGAUACUGUCGGGCUUGAGUGCAGGAGAGGUAAGUGGAAUUCCCGGUGUAGCCGUGAAAUGCGUAGAGAUCGGGAGGAACACCAGUGGCGAAGGCGACUUACUGGACUGUAACUGACGCUGAGGCGCGAAAGUGUGGGGAGCAAACAGGAUUAGAAACCCCGGUAGUCC